rnacentral:rRNA from 1 species
AGCCGCAGUAUAUUGACUGUGCUAAGGUAGCAUAAUMAUUUGUUCUAUAAUGGAGAACUAGAAUAAACGAGUUGACAAUGCUUCCCCUUUUCUUUUUAUUAAAAUAGAAAUUGAUAUUUACUUCAAAAAGAGUAAAUUUUUAGAAAGACGAUAAGACCCUAUAAAACUUUGAAUCAGAAAAUUUCAAUUUUUUGAAAAAAAUUUAAAACCUGAUUAAGCUGGGGCGGUGUUAAUUUCUCAAUUAAAAAUUUAACAUUAAUAUAUGAAAAAAUAGAUCUUCAUAAGAGUUAGAACAAGUUACUUUAGGGAUAACAGCACAAUUUUCUCCUAGAGAUCUUAUUGAAGAGAAAGCUUGUGACCUCGAUGUUGAAUUGAGGGGCCUAGUUUAAGCAAAAAUAAACCAAGGAGGUCUGUUCGACCUUAAAACCCUCA